UACGUAGGGUGCGAGCGUUAAUCGGAAUUACUGGGCGUAAAGGGUGCGCAGGCGGCUCCGCAUGUCGGGCGUGAAAUCCCCGGGCUUAACCUGGGAAUUGCGUCCGAAACUAUGGAGCUGGAGUGUGGCAGAGGGAGGUGGAAUUCCACGUGUAGCGGUGAAAUGCGUAGAGAUGUGGAGGAACACCGAUGGCGAAGGCAGCCUCCUGGGCCAACACUGACGCUCACGCACGAAAGCGUGGGGAGCAAACAGG
rnacentral:rRNA from 1 species